UCUACUCCAUAAAAGUGGCCGGUAAAAAAGUUGAGAGUUGGAUAAAUUGGUUGUAAGACUGAGGUUGAAGGAUGAAUGUAUUAUUUUCCAUUUUAGAAACAAAAUAAAUAGAUUUGAGCAAUAAUACUAUAUGAUUUUUUCAAGAAGAGAGAAAUUAUAUAUGGUUCGAUGAGAUCGCCUGGAUGGGAGCGUCCGAACUAUCGCCAAUGUUGAAUCUAGGUUUGUUCUUCAUUGUCGAGCCGUUCUUUUGCCCUAAUAAUGAGUCAUCCAGAAGUAGAAAAUUCUAGCUUUCUGUGGGAUCAACUGCUCCACUUCACAUAAUAAGGCGUAUUUCCUAAGAGUUCUUUCACUUUAUCUCUGUCUUCAGCUUUAAUGGACGAAGAUAGCAAGGAGGAUCUUGAGCAUCAGGGGCACAUUACAGGAAGGGACUGGAUGGACACAUGAGGAGGUUCACAUAUUAUAGAAUGAAAUGGUGGUGAAAUCAUCAUUCAGAUCCUAGCCAUCCAGUCCCAGAUGAGGAGGUAGUGCAUGGCGGCACUCCGGUUGAAGGGAAAUUAUGCUUGUGGAUUUUUGUAGGAAAAAAUGUUGCAUUUUCCUCCUCGAGCCAUGUGAAGACAGCCAUUGAGUUGGAGGUAGGAAGGAAGAGGGCUGAUAUAGCUGAGCUGGAAUGUGUGAUGAGAGGAAGGAGCGAAUCUCGCAAAGGAAGGACUUGUAUGGGGUUCUUUUUUUGAAUUCUCGUUUGGCUCCGUGAUGUCCUUGCAGAUUGGGUCGCAAUUCAUCACACAUUAGCGGUUACCGUUUGGCAGCCACCAGCAGUGGUAGCAGUCACUUUUUUGACUCUUUGGCAGCCAGCAGAAUCGGUGGCUACUGUUUGGAUCGAUUGUUUCCAAGCAACAGCACCCAAUGUUCAGACCGUUUUGGUCCCCAGUACCAGCCACCAUUUGACUUGUGAACUUCCAAACAGAAUAAUAAUUUCUGUCUUUGGAUUAACGUACUUAAAGAUAUUGUUUAGAAAAUCUCUGUUUAUUUGGACUCGUCCUAUAAACAGCGACUCUAGGUACUUGAGACGCUGUUUAGUACAAUGCUAAGCCUAAUUAACACCAUUUAAGGUUUGUUUUUUUUUUUUUUUUAAUGAAUAUUAGAACAUAGCUUUCUGAUUAUAUUUUUGCAUAAUUGUCAUCGUUAUGUAAUGGAAGGCUGGUAUCAUAUAACAUUUUUUACUGGAGAAUUCGAAUUCUAUUGGCUUA